rnacentral:rRNA from 1 species
AAGACCCCGUGAACCUUUACUAUAGCUUGACACUGAACAUUGAGCCUUGAUGUGUAGGAUAGGUGGGAGGCUUUGAAGUGUGGACGCCAGUCUGCAUGGAGCCGACCUUGAAAUACCACCCUUUAAUGUUUGAUGUUCUAACGUUGACCCGUAAUCCGGGUUGCGGACAGUGUCUGGUGGGUAGUUUGACUGGGGCGGUCUCCUCCUAAAGAGUAACGGAGGAGCACGAAGGUUGGCUAAUCCUGGUCGGACAUCAGGAGGUUAGUGCAAUGGCAUAAGCCAGCUUGACUGCGAGCGUGACGGCGCGAGCAGGUGCGAAAGCAGGUCAUAGUGAUCCGGUGGUUCUGAAUGGAAGGGCCAUCGCUCAACGGAUAAAAGGUACUCCGGGGAUAACAGGCUGAUACCGCCCAAGAGUUCAUAUCGACGGCGGUGUUUGGCACCUCGAUGUCGGCUCAUCACAUCCUGGGGCUGAAGUAGGUCCCAAGGGUAUGGCUGUUCGCCAUUUAAAGUGGUACGCGAGCUGGGUUUAGAACGUCGUGAGACAGUUCGGUCCCUAUCUGCCGUGGGCGCUGGAGAACUGAGGGGGGCUGCUCCUAGUACGAGAGGACCGGAGUGGACGCAUCACUGGUGUUCGGGUUGUCAUGCCAAUGGCACUGCCCGGUAGCUAAAUGCGGAAGAGAUAAGUGCUGAAAGCAUCUAAGCACGAAACUUGCCCCGAGAUGAGUUCUCCCUGACUCCUUGAGAGUCCUGAAGGAACGUUGAAGACGACGACGUUGAUAGGCCGGGUGUGUAAGCGCAGCGAUGCGUUGAGCUAACCGGUACUAAUGAACCGUGAGGCUUAACCUUACAACGCCGAAGCUGUU